UGGGGAAUAUUGCACAAUGGGCGCAAGCCUGAUGCAGCAACGCCGCGUGAGGGAUGACGGCCUUCGGGUUGUAAACCUCUUUUAGCAGGGAAGAAGCGAAAGUGACGGUACCUGCAGAAAAAGCACCGGCUAACUACGUGCCAGCAGCCGCGGUAAUACGUAGGGUGCAAGCGUUGUCCGGAAUUAUUGGGCGUAAAGAGCUCGUAGGCGGUCUGUCGCGUCUGCUGUGAAAUCCCGAGGCUCAACCUCGGGCCUGCAGUGGGUACGGGCAGACUAGAGUGCGGUAGGGGAGAAUGGAACUCCUGGUGUAGCGGUGGAAUGCGCAGAUAUCAGGAAGAACACCGAUGGCGAAGGCAGUUCUCUGGGCCGUAACUGACGCUGAGGAGCGAAAGCGUGGGGAGCGAACAGGAUUAGAUACCCUGGUAGUCCACGCCGUAAACGUUGGGCGCUAGAUGUGGGGCACCAUUCCACGGUUUCCGUGUCGCAGCUAACGCAUUAA
rnacentral:rRNA from 1 species